rnacentral:lncRNA from 1 species
ACAGCAAACACCCUCAAAAAUAAUGGCAGGCCGAUGGGUAGGGUAUCAGGACGCAAAUAGUCAGUUACACUUGGUCGCAGCCUUGAAAGCGGGCUGGGCCAGACCCCCAAAACACGCCAGGAGGCACACUUUGGAAUGGAAGAGAUGAGUGGCUAAAAAUCUGGCGGGCGGCGUGGCAGGCUGGCCCAACCUGCAGGCUGGACCAGGCGCUGACUGCACUGCACGUGCUGGACUUGUCUAGUGGCGGUACGCAAGGCGUGGACAGACGUGGACAGACGUGUGCACAAAAUCCUACACUGGAUCUAACAGGAGAGACAAGGAGCCCUGGCGGCUUGGUUAGUCUUGUUAUGGGGAGAAGGAAUGCACACUUCUCUUCUAAUCAUGUAACACAUCAUCAUAUUGUGCUAUCUGGUAAGCCCACUCUUGACCCAUCAUAGGGUAGUGUCAUGCCCUGCCCCGCUAGGCCUGGUGUUCCUCGGGCCUCCCAGCUGGAGACCCUUCUCAACUCACCAUACGCUUUCACAUCACACACAAAAUAUACUAGGGACUGGAAAAGCUGUGUCCCUCUAACACCACUGAAGGCCCAAUCUUUAGCUGUCGCCGACAGAGCAGGCCAUGACGGCACACUCAUGGUGCAGCCGAGGCCACAAACCACAAUAUUAUGCUACAUAGUCAAUGGAGAACGCCUGUCUCCCUAGCCAACCGUGUGGCAUGGUCGGGUAUCAGUUGAGAGCCCAAACGUCAUGGCAUACUGCCAUUCACCUGCCAUGUAGUUCUGCAGGCACAACCCCCCAACUGCCGGUUAAUUAUGCAACAACCAGAUCAGCCUGUCCACAGAAAGAACAUUCCCAUUGAUUCGUCCACUAGACCUCUCCUUGCAUGGCCAGCAACCUGUGCCACCUGGUGCUUGCUACCAAAUCGUCUGUUAUGCAGCAAUGCAUCACGUUGUGUUUGUGCGAUGCAUGUCACCCAACGUGUCAAAACCCCAACCGCCCGCGUGUGUAGCCCACUCACGUGCUCAGAGUGCUAGCUCACAGUGUGGUGUGGCGGGGCAAUGCUAAGUGCUUUGCCCAGCGCUGUGUCGGCACGCAGAAAGCCACUACAACCUCAACACAUGUGCUUGAGAACGACACCGCACAUGAAACAGUCCGAGCGCCCCCCCUGCCACCUCAGAGCACCCCACCUCACGGAGAGGCAGAGGCAUGUUUGCCAACCCCCAACCCAACAGCCCAGAGCUGGAACGAUUUUGGCAGCUGCUGACGGCAGAAAUCGAUCAGCUUGCCUACUAUGGCCUUCAAGAGGUACUGCAAUAUCGUAGACAUCAAGUCCACCACACAGGGGUAUGACGCCGGUCUUCUGAAGAGGGGCAAAAACAUGUCCACACCUGUUUCUCCACGCUCGCGUAGACUUAGCCUCCCUCUUUCAGGAAUUAACUUAUAUGACAUAUAAGGAUGCAAAAGUUUGACUCCUGUCGCAUUCUGCGAGGGUGGCUGUCAUCACAUUUCGCGAGGCAUGCUUUCGCCAGGGUCGCACUCUUAAGCCCGGGAGCAUGUUUCUAGUCUCCUUGCAUGUAUGUUUGAUGACGGCAACAAUAAUUGGCAUCAAAGCGCGGUAACUGUGCAGACUUGAGAAGCCUGUUCACCGCGACGUCACCGAAUAGGCCGCAAACAAAAUGUUUGAGGUUUCUAUAGUAUCAAGGUGAUACUUAUAGAACGCUGGUAGCUGAUUCGGAGGUCGGCCUGACGACCGGCAAGCGACCGUGCCCAAGCUGGGCGGAACACGCGAGCUAGACCAGUCUAGGCCGUGUCGUACGCCCGGGACCACGUUCGCCCGAUCUAUAGCCGGAGUUUGGGGACCGGACGACAAGGCCAAGGCAGGUAACCAGGCUGUGCCGUUUGACCCCUCUCCCAGACCGGCGUCAUACCCGUGUGAGUCCACCACUUUGAAUCCGAAAGCGAGGCCGGCCACGUUCAGCAGGUCGGGCUGUGCGGGUGCGUAGAUGGCCCAGAUCACGACCGACCAGAUGCAAAGCUCCAUCACUACACUGACGAACUGCGCCAUCAUUGCCCAGCAAGGAGAAACCGCAGGAAGCGGAUAAGCGCGGCCAUAAGAAGCACCGUG